GGCCCAGGGACCGGCCCAGGGGCUGGACCAUGGGCCCGCGGCCAAUCAGCACAGCUUUGCGGACCCGGAGAGGAGAGGGGGCUCCCGGGAGUAGGGUGGGGGCGUGCCCAUUGUCUAAGACUGCGGGGAGGUAGAAAAAGUUGGGACUGAGAAUUGGGGGUGGGUAAAGGAACCGUGGGCGGGAGGGUGGCUAGGCGAUGGCGACCAGUAUGGCAGGUCAGGUAUGGGGGGAGGGCUGGCACUGGAUGGGGUGGGCAGGAGGACUGGAGCAGGUGGGGAGGCCGUCAGGAACGCGGGGAAGGAGCGUGCUGUGUUCCGGGCUCUGGCAGGUGGAAGGGUUGAAGCGGCGCACGCUGCGCUGCCAUCGCGCAUUGCGGCGCCUCCUCUGCCAAGGGCCAGAGAUCCCUAAGCCACCCGCCCCUGGUGAGACCACUGCCCUUUUCCCAACCCCAGAGGCCGACAACUGUCCGCGCCGGCUCGCCCCUCACACAGAGGCUCGGGAGAGGACAGGUGGUCGCAGGAGGAAGUCGUGCGUGAUCAGAAUGUUGGGGUCUGGAGAGUCGAGACCCUGGAUACCCAAGGCCCAAGAGCCCCAGGGUGUCCUGUGCCCCGCCCCCAGCAUCCGCCUGUUCUCUCUUUUGUCUCUGCUGCAGCAUCCAGGGAUGAGGCGACCUCCGCGCCCCCUCCGGUCCUGCCCGACCCUCUCCAAGAGUCCACAGCUCCCCGGCUGGGUCCGGGCCCCGAGGCGGCUACGAGGUCCUCAACCUCGUGCUGCUGAUGGGAGUGAGGGACACGCCUAAAAACUGCUGCAGCGCGAGGAACAGGCCACCGGAGACCCAGACACACACACAGCGCGUGCGCGUAGACUCGGAGCACGGACACGCCUUCAAAUCCAGUCUCCUGGGGCCCAAUGACCGGGGUUCCGGUGGUGCUGAGCGGAGCCUGCAGCUGUUGAGUGAGACUCUCCCAGAACCAUCGGCAAGCUGUCAUCGCCUCCCUUUCCCGCUGGGGGGUGGAAGGGGGGCUUGCAGCUCGUUUCCAGUACACAAAGAGGAAUAGAGAACAAAAGCCCAGCAGCCCCCAGACACCCAUUUCGCCCAGACUGAAGCUCAGGGCAGAGUUCCCCAGACGUGGCUACCGUGUGGGGUUUAGGGUGGGGUCGGGAGAGAGGCAGAGGAGUGGAAGGUCCGCCCACAUGCCCCACUUGUGGGGUCCAAGCCCUGGGGCUUGACUCCGAGUUUCUACCCCAGGUCCUACAGUUGCAGAAACGUCGAGGGCGAGCGAUUCCCAAGGUCACACAGCAAGUUACAGACAGGGUUCAGGCCGGAAUCUCGCCUUCCGGGCGCCCCAGACCUCGGGGAAGGUGACUGCCUCUUGGCCUGACCUCGGCGAAGGUCCAGGGCUCUAGGGCUGUGAAUGGUGUCAGCACAGGGACCUAGGGAUGGCGGCUCCGACGGGACUGAGCCUCACGGGAAGGCACCAAGCGAGGGCCGCCCCUGCGCUGCUGCGGCAGACGCGUGGAGAGCGGUCAGCACCCGGCUGCCGGCGCCGAGGGCCUCCACGCCGCGCGGUCAUCUGAGCCCGCCGCCGGCCCCCCACCCCGCGGUCUCAUUUCUCAGCUUCUGUUUCAGAGCCAGAUCUCCGCGGAGUGCUCGCGUGAAAACGCAUGUUCAAGACCGUGUGGAUAAAAGCACGCACCCUUUCCUCUCGGUUUUUCUUUUAGGGGACGGGGUUUGGAAUAGGGGGAGGCUGGAACUCAUCCUUCUGAAAGCCCGGACGCCCUGGGGACUCGGCACUUUUGGUUGAAGAUCUACUUUCCUUUCACACGUUUUGCGGGUAUUGUCCUCCCCCCCACCCCCGCCCCCUUCCGAGCCGGCCUUCUGGUUAACUGCUCUACGCCCCUCUCCCCAAUCUGGAAUUAUGAUGCUGCACAUUUUUAUUUUCACAAGGACCUGAUCUCGUGUUGGAAGACAGCCAAGUCUUUCCCUGAAGUCUUUCAGUUCGUCAGCUAACCCUUAUCAUCCUUAAAUCCGUGUAGCUCUCGAAAAGAAGCUAGUAAGGGGCUUUCAAAGCAAAAAAAAAAAAAAAAAAAAGAUUCGUUCUCAAUUGAGUCCUCCAGCAUUUCUUUUUGUCUGUUUAUUGUACACAGUUCUAGGUCAUUGUAUGUCAGAUGAAGUUAGCAGGACAAUAUAUUUUGUCAUUACUUA